GUAAGGAAUAUUGGACAAUGGGGGAAACCCUGAUCCAGCCAUGCCGCGUGAGUGAAGAAGGCCUUCGGGUUGUAAAACUCUUUCAGAUGUGAAGAUGAUGACGGUAACAUCAGAAGAAGCUCCGGCUAACUUCGUGCCAGCAGCCGCGGUAAUACGAAGGGAGCGAGCGUUGUUCGGAAUCACUGGGCGUAAAGAGUGCGUAGGCGGUUAUACAAGUCAGGAGUGAAAUCCCAGAGCUUAACUUUGGAAUUGCUUUUGAAACUGUAUAGCUAGAGUCCCGGAGGGGUUAAUGGAAUUCCGAGUGUAGAGGUGAAAUUCGCAGAUAUUCGGAGGAACACCAGUGGCGAAGGCGAUUAACUGGACGGGCACUGACGCUGAGGCACGAAAGCGUGGGGAUCAAACAGGAUUAGAUACCCUAGUAGUCC
rnacentral:rRNA from 1 species